UCGUGCUAGGCGGGGAGCUAGCGGUGCCCUGAACCCGAAAUCCGCUAUAGCGGGGCUGAAUUCCCUCCUCGAGGACCGCCGGUUUGGGAAACUAUCCAAGCUUGAGGGCUGUGAAGGUUGGGUCCUGCGCGGCGAGAGCCCACGAACCCCGCCAGGCCCGGAAGGGAGCAACGGUAAGUGGUAACUCUCGGGCGCCGCAGGGGUGCCUGACUGGAGCCUGAUGCUUGGACAAGCCCCAGGCCGUAGGUUCGACAGGAGGGUGCACGA
rnacentral:SRP_RNA from 1 species